AACGAACGCUGGCAGCAUGCCUAACACAUGCAAGUCGAACGAGACCUUCGGGUCUAGUGGCGCACGGGUGCGUAACGCGUGGGAACCUGCCCUUAGGUUCGGAAUAACUCCCCGAAAGGGGUGCUAAUACCGGAUAAUGUCUUCGGACCAAAGAUUUAUCGCCUUUGGAUGGGCCCGCGUUGGAUUAGCUAGUUGGUAGGGUAAAAGCCUACCAAGGCGACGAUCCAUAGCUGGUCUGAGAGGAUGAUCAGCCACACUGGAACUGAGACACGGCCCAGACUCCUACGGGAGGCAGCAGUGGGGAAUAUUGGACAAUGGGCGAAAGCCUGAUCCAGCAAUGCCGCGUGAGUGAUGAAGGCCUUAGGGUUGUAAAGCUCUUUUACCCGGGAUGAUAAUGACAGUACCGGGAGAAUAAGCUCCGGCUAACUCCGUG
rnacentral:rRNA from 1 species